GUAAGUUGGUGGCCUGGUGAGUUUCGACAUGCCUGCUGGAGGCCAAUGCAUCAGGAGGGAAGAGAAAGUGGAGAAAGUGGGGAAAGGCGUGGAGGGAGAAGUGCAACGUGGGAGCCAUCGAGCGAGCACCUCGUCCACAUCAACCACCACCACUUUCAUCAGCUGGCUCUCAUCUGUUGCUUCUACUGCUGCUUUCUCCUAAUUUGUCUUUUGCGGAUUUCUCGAAAUCUUUAAAAUUCUAGUAUGUACACCUUGUUGUCAGGUCUUUACAAACAUUUGACACAGCAUGACGAGUAUUGCGUCGUUAUCCUUGGGCUGGACAAUGCAGGAAAAACGACGUACUUGGAGGCUGCAAAAGCAAAUUUGGAUAAGAACUAUAAACGAGGAGAUCCCAAAAGAGUGACGGCCACCGUGGGGUUAAAUGUGGGAAAAAUCGAUACUGCAGGAAUCACGAUUCAAUUUUGGGACCUUGGAGGACAAACUGAAUUGCAAAGCCUAUGGGAUAAGUACUACGAAGAAUGUCACGGAAUCAUUUAUGUUAUUGACUCGUAUGAUCGUGAAAGGAUUGAAGAAUCAAAGGAAGCGUUUGAUAAAAUGGUACGUAAUGAGUUACUAUCAAAAGUUCCAUUGCUGGUGCUUGCAAACAAACAGGAUCUACCAGAGUGUAUGGGUGUACGAGAAGUUAAACCAAUAUUUAAUCAAAGUGCUCAUCUAAUUGGAUCUCGAGAUUGCAUGGUGAUGCCAGUCUCUGCACUUACUGGGGAGGGCAUUUCAGAGGGAAUUAACUGGUUGAUUGAUUGCUUGAAAAGAAAUUCUGAUAUAAGGCCACCAAAGUCAUCGGAUAGCUAAAUUUUUCUAUAAAAGUUACAAAUUAUUUAUUUAUUCAAUCAGUCAAUAUCAAAAUAUGCCUCACCCACAGGCAUCACCUGAGGAAAACUUUUUCAUGCAACUCGAGAGCUGUGUUAAAUUAUACCUUCCGUUUAUAAAGCGUAUCAAGACAAGAUUAUUCAAUACUUUAUCGCUCUAUAAGAGACCCAAGCGUUACCUAGA